AUUGAACGCUGGCGGCAGGCCUAACACAUGCAAGUCGAGCGGGAACUACGGUUCUAGCGGCGGACGGGUGAGUAAUGCGUAGGAAGCUACCCAACAGAGGGGGAUACCAGUUGGAAACGACUGUUAAUACCGCAUAAUGUCUACGGACCAAAGUGUGGGACCUUCGGGCCACAUGCUGUCGGAUGCGCCUACGUGGGAUUAGCUAGUUGGUGAGGUAACGGCUCACCAAGGCGACGAUCCCUGGAUGGAUUGAGAGGAUGAUCAGCCACACUGGAACUGAGACACGGGCCAGACUCCUAGGGGAGGCAGCAGUGGGGAAUAUUGGACAAUGGGCGAAAGCCUGAUCCAGCCAUGCCGCGUGUGUGAAGAAGGCAUUCGGGUUGUAAAGCACUUUCAGUAGGGAGGAAGAGUUGAGUGUUAAUAGUACUCAGCUUUGACGUUACCUACAGAAGAAGCACCGGCUAACUCUGUGCCAGCCGCCGCAGUAAAAC
rnacentral:rRNA from 1 species